GCGCUCGGCUACUCUCACUCACACAAGCUGCCUCAGCGGCACCACGGCGAAAACAUCACGUGACGCUGCAAGGGAGGGGAGGAGGGCGACUACAGGGAACGGGGCGCGGCUUCAACCAGCCGUGGGCGGGGUCGUCCGCGUUUCUGUGUGUAGAACUGAGGGUGAGAAUGGGGAACCGAACGGCCUCCCCUGGAGUGAAAGGGGAAUAGGCCAAUCAGAGACGAACAGCUUCUACGUGGCCCAAUCAGGACUCGAGAAGGGUAUUUUUGGUCUGUGCGCAAUCAGAGAGAGGCGAGGCUCGGGUGGAUCGGCAGCGCUUUGAACCAAUCAAAAUCGGCAACAGCUUCUGUCCGUCGGGAAGUUGCCAUCAGGCAAAGAUGACCAUGGUGCUGUGGGCCAAAUGAGCAACAUUCAGUGCUGGGGUCUUCAGUCUCAGUUCACAUCUACAUAUUAUACCUGAGGAUGGUUACAG